UACAGAGGGGGCAAGCGUUAUUCGGAAUUAUUGGGCGUAAAGGGCUCGUAGGCGGUUUGUCGCGUCGGGAGUGAAAACACCGGGCUUAACUCGGUGCUGGCUUUCGAUACGGGCAGACUAGAGGUAUUCAGGGGAGAACGGAAUUCCUGGUGUAGCGGUGAAAUGCGCAGAUAUCAGGAGGAACACCGGUGGCGAAGGCGGUUCUCUGGGAAUGUCCUGACGCUGAGGAGCGAAAGUGUGGGGAGCGAACAGG
rnacentral:rRNA from 1 species